CCCUAAAAAGUAAUUAAUGGGACCUUUAGUCAUUGCUUAAAUAUAUAUGUUGUUGUGAAAUGAAAAAUCAAGUUCAUAAACACUGUUAGACUUCUUAAUUAGAAAUUGUAUUAUAUUGAGUUCAGGUAACACACAAAUUUAGCCUUUUUACUCAAUAUAUAAUUAUGAUUAGUCUGAAUUUAAAAUGAUCAGUUAAUCAAAACACAAUAUAAUUUUAAGUUGUGUCGAUGUAAAAUAAAACUUGAUGACGUGUAAACCUCCCACAGUUCCUCACUUUUUCUCAGGCGGACAUUUUCAACAGCACAUGUUCAGGAUAUGAAGCACUGUGUUGGUGGAGAACGGUAAGUACAUUUAUGCGGAAUUACACAUAUUUUACAGUCACCCUGGAUUUUGUUAGUGAUAUAGCCUAAUUUAAAACAAGGACGUAACAUUAUCUCUCCCGGUAGCAAGCGAGACGCUCCAGUUAGCUUUCACCCACAUCUGUGUGCAUAGCAGUUCGGCUGUAACAUACACGGAGACGCAAAUUCUGCGAUAGUAGAAAUUGUUGGGCUCUUUUUGAAACAUCUAAUACUAACGUUACUCUGAUAUAGACCAUUGUAAUUGUCUAAUGUUUAAAAGAUCACAGAUAUUGUUAGCCACGGCACUAACUGCUAUGCUAACGCUGGGUUCUGUAGGAUGUGAGCUAUAAUGUUGAUGCUAGCCAAGGUAAGUAGCUAUCACUGAUGUGUUUGUUGUUAGUUAAGCAGCGAUUGAAACGUUUUAUUAUCUAAAUGUGGAAUUAUUUUUUGUAAAGAGAAGCAUUUUAUGUUAAUAACCAUUAAGAAAUGCUAAAGCUAGAUGCCGCUUUUCGCUUCUACAUUUACGUCAACAGCGCCACCAUCUUGUUAAUGUUAAGGGCGGGAGUUCAACCCAGUACCGAGCCAUGAAAGAUGCCAGACUUAAGUGGACAAUGCCGCACAAUGGUAGGGUAAUUAUUAUUAUUAUGGUAGGGUAAGGGUGAUUUUUGGUGACUUUCGGUGUUUUGAAGAGAAAUACGGAGAGGCGACACGGAUUGUUUGUGCCAUUGAUAUGUCUCAAUAAAGUUUGAAGAAAAAAAUUGAGCUGCGUGGUAGCGGACCACCAUUUUGGAUGGGUCUCCAUUCGCCCCUAGUGCAGGUUUUUUCUACGAAGGAAUGUGUUCCUCCAGUUAAAACACGUUGUCGUUCUUUUUAACAAAAUGAGAUAUAAGGAGUGGCAUGACAGGGCUACCAGAGUCAAAUUUUGAUGGUAAAUAAUGAAACUGUUAAAACAUUUUUCCAAACACAGAAAAGCAAAAAAAAGUCAACAACCCCACUGUUUUUAGCAAUAUGCCAGUUUUUGCAACAGUUGGCUGCAUAAAAAGGACCAUGGAUUCUGACUCAGCAUUGACUCCAAUUGGGUUUUGGAGAAUGAUAAACCCAACCAAUAUGGCAGUGACGCUGCAACCAUAGAGAGCAUAUAUUCAUAGAGACAACAGUUGUUGUUGGAGAGCUACAUGCUUUGCUAUCAUAUUGGAUGGGUCCAGCACUCUUCCAACAACCAGCGUACUGUUGAAAACAGAUCAUGUGGGAGUAUUGACUUUUCUAGCUUGUGUAUGAAAAAGUUUUUCCGUAUUUACUGUCAGAAAAUGGCUGAAUCUUACGUUUGAUUUUAUUUUAAAAAAAACAUGAUAAAGGCUUUUAGUUUAGUGAACACAUUCCUGGUAGAAAUAAAUGCACUGGGGGAAAAUGGAGACCCAUCCAAUAUAGCGGUCUGCGGGUACACCAGCUCCAACAGACAGGCCCAGUCCAAGGUCACCUCUACGUGUAUUUGAUGUCUAUGGAAAGCUACAUGUUGCAUCUAUGCAUAUAUGAUUUCUAUGGCUGUUGGGCUUUCCAGCGCUCAACAAAUUCAGGUAUUCUGUUUUGAAUGACUGGUCCCAGCUCACACUGUCCCCGAAAAGGUCCCCAACUUUAUAAUUUUAUGAAUCAGAAAUGUUACUAGCAUCGCACGCACGCGCACACACACACACACACACACACACACACACACACACACACACACACACACACACACACACACACACACACACACACACACACACCACCUGGUUGUAAAAGUUCAUUCAAAUGCUGUAAAAGCAAAAUAUAGUAAAAGACUAAUGUUAAAUGUAUCUAACAGAGUUAUAUAUUACUAUUUAAAAAUGGUGCAAAAGAUACUAAUUGGAAAAGUUGUUUCAAAAGUGUAAACAAAUGCCUCAUAACAGUAAGUUAAAUAUCAUAAAAACACAUAUUGGCUACUGAUGGGCCACCAGGCUUUUCAAGUUUAAAAUCAUUUAACUUCAUUUAUUUUCCUACUCAGGUCUUCAGUGACUUUGAAAGGACAAAACACUGGUAUCCUGGUGUCGUAGACCAAGAGUUCAAGUUGAGAUAGGUCAGCCUCUCAGGACAAGCUAGACAUCCCGUCCUCUGUCCCCUGAGGUGUGACUUUCUGGUGUUCUACAGUGUCCUGGUGUUGUGGAUCUAGGGGUUCCAGUUAAGACGUGGUCAGCCUUCUAAAGAACGUGGGAAUCUCACCUAAAUAUUCAGUUACUUUGCUGUGUGCCUCGCAAGGACAAAAACUCAAACCUUCAUCUUCUCCUGGUAUCCUGGUGUCACGUGCCAAGGGGUUCAAGUUAAAACGUCAUCAGCCUUCUGAAGACAACACAGUUGAAAAGCGCAGAGAGAUUACCAUUCGCUGCCUCAUAGUCUAUAUUGGAGAGAAGGAGGAGGAUCUUUUCAAACAAUACAGCGAUGUGGAGGAGCUCAACGCAGACCUUGCAAUGCAAGUCAUGAAGAUUGCUAUCAUUGGUGAUGGGCCUGAAACGAUCAUCGUUGAGGAAUCCAAGAUCCUGGAGGGGAUUGAUGCUGCCAGAUCCUGUGUUUUGCUGAUGGGAGUUAUCUACACUCUGAACCUUACCUACCCAAAGCAGCUGAAAUUUACCUUUGAGGUAUUUCAAAAGCUAUGCCUUGAGCUUGAUGGACAAAAAGCCAGCUCUAAAGUAACGAAUCUCAAGUUGGGUAUUUUCUAGAGCAGACUUAAUGAACUGUUCAUGAGGGAGUUUCAAAGUAGACACAAAACCUUUUCUUAUUUCUGCAUUUGCAGCACUACUUCAGUCAUUGGCUUUUACUAAAUUUUAAAGCACUGUUCUUCAUAAGCUUCUGAGUUAAUUUUUUGUGUCUUAAAUGCUGCUGUUUGCACAUUUUUAAGGAAUUUGAGCUGUGGUUAAUUCCUCCCAUUACCUCUUUGUUCUGAGGAUAGUGGUGUGUUUUGAAGUUUAUAUAUAAUGCCCUCUUUAGCUGGCAUUAAUCUGGUAGUUGAAAAGUCAAAUAUAAAUGAGAAUGAAUAUGACUUUGCUAAAGUACUGACAAAGUUGAAUGAGAGAAACUUUGCUCAUUUUAUGUUUAAAUUAGUGAAUUUAAAUGUAUUGAACUCUUUGAUAUUUUGUUUUGAUUCACUGUCCCUUAUUCAAGUCAAAAAUUAUGAUUCAUGUAUUGGGUUUUAUUACACUUUAAUACACUGUUCCUCAUAAGUUUCAGUGGGCGUUUUGUGUCUUAAGAAAAUUAAGCCCUCAAAUCUUGCACUUUACAUGUUAAAGAAUUGUGCUGUUAUUGUUAUUAAAUGGGUCUAACUCAUUUGAAUAAUUCUGUCUGAAUUUCUAUUAUUUCUGAGCACCAGGUCUGAGUUCCUUAGCUGAUGUCCAGAUGCCAGGUUAGGACAUCUCCCUCAUGCCUCUACAUAAGGGGUGUCAAAUUCUGGUCCAUGGGGGCCGGUGUCCUGCAUCUUUUAGUGUUUUCCCUGUUCCAACACAGAUAAUUCACCUGUGCAGCAGAUCAUCAAACUCUGCAGAAACCUGUUAAUGAACUGCUGACUGAAAUCAGGUGUGUUGAAACCGGGAAACGCUAAAACGUGGGAUUACGGCCCUUUGAGGACUGGAGUGACACCCCUACCCUGAAUACUCCUAGCAACCAUUCAGAAGGUAUUUGGCAUCUCCUUGCUGAGAGCUGAUUUUACUCAGCCACCUUCAAACAAAAAUACACACAACAUCCUAUUAUUUUUCUGAAGGUCAUGACACAAGAGCAGUCAAAGCACAUGUUGAGGCUGAAUUUCAUUUGGUAAAAAGUCUGAUCAACAACUUUCUUAUGUCUUAGAACCUUGACUUCUUUGUGGGCAGGCACCACCUUGGAUGAACCCUCCCACAAGGUAGUCAUGGUUAUAAGAGACGACCAAAUCAUCAUGGUUCUAUUUUGGAGCAACUUAGCCUCCUGAGAAACAGAAAAAUGCACUUAUAGAAUCUCCUGCAGGGAUCAUACAUAAUUGAGUUAAUAUUUGAAGUUUAUUUUUUGUGACCAAAAAGCUACUACACUACUGUAUAACUGAAAUAUUAUAUUGGACCACCUUAAAUUCUUGCGUUCUUGUUGACAAUUAUUAAGUUCAUGUAACUUAGGAAUGUGUUUAAAUGUGGCCAAAAAGUUACUUCAACAUAAAUGAAUAUUAUGUUGGAUCAAC